UAGCGAACAUGGGAUGGGAGUGAGGAAGUGAAGAUGGACCCAAGCAGCAAGGGACCACCCCAAACACCAGACCAGGGGAAAAUGAGGUCCCGGGUGUUUGGGUCCCCCGAGACUCCUAAAAGGGUCCGUGAUCAUCCCCAGGACCCUCCUCCGCGCAGGACGCCUGGCCGACCGCUGGCUGGAGCCCUGAGGCCCGUUUGCCUGCGGUUGUCAUAGCAACGGGGCUCGAAGGCUGCCUAACCCUCCCGCCCACCUUUUCCCUCAGGGUAGGGCGAGUCAGCGUUGCGAGGCCACUCACCACAACGGCCGGCGGGCUGCCCCUGACAGAGGCACACACUUGGACCCGAGUGGUCCCCCAGCCCCGAACGCCACACCUAAAGAAGCUGAACUUUUCUAAGGCCCGGGAUGCCGACCCAGGAGGUGGACGGGGUCUGCACCGGGACAAAGCGCGACAGCAAACGCGAAGCCCCAGCCUUCCGCGCGCAAGUGAGGCCUGUGAGGAGAGCGGGGGCCGCACAACGGCGCCCGCGUGCCCGGGAGCCUGGUCUCCGCGGGCCGCACCCCAGACACGGAGCGGGGAAGCCUGCCUCGAGCACCGUGUCAAGUAAAACGCUUUUCAACAGCACUGUCGCUAUCGUGACGGGAUGUUCCGACUUAUUCUCAGUCAUGGCCCAGGCGGCCGGUGCUCGUGCGGCGAGGCUCGCCCGUCCAGGGGGCCUCAUACGAUGUGAACGUGGUCAGGGCGUCUCUGCUGAGAGCUGGGUGUGGAUCCUCACAGAAAGGCUGAAGUGGCCCGUGACGAGUCAAAUAACAUAUCUCUAGACUUGUCCCAAGCCUCUGUGGGACCAUCUCCAAUGUAUGUCGCAAGCAAUGGAGCCGUGAAAAGCUGGCUACAGCUGUAUGCUAAUGUUCUAUUAUUGAUCUGAACUAGGAAUGGCUUCUGUGGGCGGGUCCUCUCUCCAGCAGCUGUCGGGAAGAAAUUCAACUCUACUUGGACUAGCAUAAUUAUUCAAGGCAGAUGUCUUCUAAAAUUAAGGUGAUUGAUAGCCAGUAACAGUACAGCAAAGCAAUUAAUUUUAUUGCUUACAGGUGUACAUUUGGCAACUACUUAAUCCUGUUGCUUUCAUAGGAGGGAAAAAAGUGCUCAAAAUGGGCACAAGUAGUUGGUAACUUCAUUUUGGAAACCAUUUUUCAACCACAAAUACUCCCUGCCAUGUACUAUAUUAAUAGAACUUUGGGAUCUUGGCCAAGCAAUGUUCUGGAAAAUUACAGAACUAUCGUCUAACAAGAGUCUGGAAGAGAUGUGAGAAUUUGCACUCUGUAUGUCCCCCUUGCCUGUAUAGAAAGAUGGCAUGAUUGCCCAUCCAAGCCUAAGUCUGAGCAUGAGUUUGAGGAGAUAAACUACUAUCUGCUUCACUGAACUGUGACAUGCAUGGAUCCGCCUUUAACAAACCCCUACGAAGGCUUUUAGACUCCGGACCCUUCCAAAAAACAACUUCAAACAUCUGACAAAGCCUAGUUAAGGGACAACACUGGUAGGAAGAAUUGUUGGAAAGGCAUGCUGGGAGAAACCAAUGAAGCUACACAGGAAGGUGAUGCACUCGGGAGUCUGUGAAACCCACACAGAGACAUCCUGGAUCUUCUUAGGAAAUCUUGGUGUUGUGCCAGACGAAAAACAUUUUUCAGAGUAUUCAAGUUGCUCAAAGCAGCCACAUUAAAUAUUAUGGCUAGUUACCAGAGCCCAGGUCCUCAGAAAAGAAUUGCAGCACCAUAACCAUUAACACAACAAACUCUAGACACUGCCAAGGACCUCGCUCUAUUCCAGGGGUCACCUCAGCACUACAAUAUGCUCUCCUGUUCCUGAAAUUAUUAACGUCACCAUUGGCAGCAAGUAUGAUAUGCCAUUUACGUAAACACUUCAGGGUAAUGUCAGGUACUGUAGAGUAUCAAAUUGCUGACAUUUAAGAGAGAGGUCAGAACUGAAGCGUGGUGAGAGAACAAACACAAGAGUAACUAGCACAGCUUGUUCCAGCUUUUGUUGACCCUGUUGAUAAAGGCUGGAACAUUUUCCCAACUUUUCUCUGACCCUAGCAACAGGAAUUAUUUGACUACAAGAGAUGACUCGGCAGUUAAAGCAUGCUCUGCUCUUCCAGAGGAGCGGAGUUCAGUUUCCAGCCUGUAUCAGCAGGUUCCAGGGAUGUCAAACACCUCUGGCCUCCUCAAGGAUGUGCACACAAAUCACAUACCCACACUUAGACACACACAUACAAGAUUAAACACUGUAAAAAUAAAACAAUUUACACUUUGGAUCAUAUGACCACAUCUAGGAGGAACGUGUGCAGACACCAAGAAGGUCUCAUGAAUCAAUCUGUACUUGGCUUCAGAGCUGCUCUCUGGAAAGCCC
rnacentral:lncRNA from 1 species